AGAGUUUGAUCCUGGCUCAGGAUGAACGCUGACAGAAUGCUUAACACAUGCAAGUCGAUGGGGAAGUGGUGCUUGCACCAUGGUAACCAUGGCGGACGGGUGAGUAACGCGUAAGGGACUUACCUGCGGGACUGGGAUAACAGUAGGAAACUGCUGAUAAGACCGGAUAAGGUCAUGGAGCUGCAUGGUUUCAUGAUGAAAGGAGACGCCUGCGGAGAGCCUUGCGUCCUAUUAGCUAGUUGGAGGGGUAACGGCCCACCAAGGCGAAGAUAGGUAGCCGGCCUGAGAGGGUGGACGGCCACAAGGGGACUGAGAUACGGCCCUUACUCCUACGGGAGGCAGCAGUGGGGAAUAUUGGACAAUGGGGGCAACCCUGAUCCAGCAAUUCUGUGUGCACGAAGACGGUUUUCGGAUUGUAAAGUGCUUUCAGCAGGGAAGAAGAAAGUGACGGUACCUGCAGAAGAAGCGACGGCUAAAUACGUGCCAGCAGCCGCGGUAAUACGUAUGUCGCGAGCGUUAUCCGGAAUUAUUGGGCAUAAAGGGCAUCUAGGCGGCCAGAUAAGUCUGGGGUGAAAACUUGCGGCUCAACCGCAAGCCUGCCCUGGAAACUAUGUGGCUAGAGUACUGGAGAGGUGGACGGAACUGCACGAGUAGAGGUGAAAUUCGUAGAUAUGUGCAGGAAUGCCGAUGAUGAAGAUAGUUCACUGGACGGUAACUGACGCUGAAGUGCGAAAGCUAGGGGAGCAAACAGGAUUAGAUACCCUGGUAGUCCUAGCUGUAAACGAUGAUUACUGGGUGUGGGCAUGAAGAGUGUCCGUGCCGAAGCUAAUGCGAUAAGUAAUCCGCCUGGGGAGUACGGCCGCAAGGCUGAAACUCAAAGGAAUUGACGGGGACCCGCACAAGCGGUGGAGCAUGU
rnacentral:rRNA from 1 species